UACGAAGGGGGCUAGCGUUGCUCGGAAUCACUGGGCGUAAAGGGUGCGCAGGCGGGUCUUUAAGUCAGGGGUGAAAUCCUGGAGCUCAACUCCAGAACUGCCUUUGAUACUGAGGAUCUUGAGUUCGGGAGAGGUGAGUGGAACUGCGAGUGUAGAGGUGAAAUUCGUAGAUAUUCGCAAGAACACCAGUGGCGAAGGCGGCUCACUGGCCCGAUACUGACGCUGAGGCGCGAAAGCGUGGGGAGCAAACAGG
rnacentral:rRNA from 1 species